rnacentral:rRNA from 1 species
UACCCAAGGGAAACUUUGGUUAAUGCCGAAUACGUGGUUCUGGGAUAACCUGGAGUCAUAAAAGGCGGCUAAAGCCGCGCAGAGGGAUGGACCUGCGGCGCAUUAGCUAGUAGGUGAGAUAAUAGCCCACCUAGGCGAGGAUGCGUAGCCGACCUGAGAGGGUGAACGGCCACACUGGAACUGAGACACGGUCCAGACUCCUACGGGAGGCAGCAGUAGGGAGUAUUCGGCAAUGGGGGAAACCCUGACCGAGCAACGCCGCGUGAAUGAUGACGGCCUUCGGGUCGUAAAAUUCUGUGGCGAGGAACGAAUGGCAAGGAGAGGAAAUGCUCUUUGCUUGACGGUACCUCGCUAGAAAGCCACGGCUAACUACGUGCCAGCAGCCGCGGUAAUACGUAGGUGGCAAGCGUUAUCCGGAAUUAUUGGGCGUAAAGAGUGAGCAGGCGGUUUUUUAAGUCUGAAGUCAAAUCCUGUGGCUCAACCACAGUUCGCUUUGGAAACUGAAGAACUAGAGUGCGGGAGAGGUAAGCGGAAUUCCAUAUGUAGCGGUGAAAUGCACAGAUAUAUGGAGGAACACCGGUGGCGAAGGCGGCUUACCAGCCCGAUACUGACGCUCAGUCACGAAAGCGUGGGGAGCAAAUAGGCUUAGAUACCCUAGUAGUCCACGCCCU